GACAGAGGGUGCAAACGUUGCUCGGAAUUACUGGGCGUAAAGCGCGUGUAGGUGGAUUGGUGUGUCAGAUGUGAAAUCCCUGGGCUCAACCCAGGAACUGCACCUGAAACUACCAGUCUUGAGUGGUGGAGAGGGAAGUGGAAUUCCUGGUGUAGAGGUGAAAUUCGUAGAUAUCAGGAGGAACACCAGUGGCGAAGGCGGCAUUCUGGACCGAUAUUGACGCUGAGGAGCGAAAGCCAGGGGAGCAAACGGG
rnacentral:rRNA from 1 species